UGCUAGACAGCCUUAAUUCAAUGGCCAGAUACUGGCGCAUAGGCAAAUCAACAAGUUAUAAAAUAGUUAUAGAAACAUGCAAUGCCAUUUGGCAAUGUCUUAAGAAAACGUAUUUGAAGCAAUCUUCUGAAGAAGAGUGGAAAAAUAUUGAAAAAUGCUUUUAUGGACGAUAGGAUUUUCCAAACUGUAUCGGGGCUUUGGAUGGAAAGCAUAUCCGUGUGCAAUGUCCACCCAACUCUGAUUCAGCAUACUAUAACUAUAAAGGAUACUACAGUCUAGUAUUGCUAGCCACAUGUGACGCAAAUUAUGCAUUUACCUUUGUAGAUAUCGGAGAUUAUGGAUCACUAUCAGAUACAAGGAUUCUUAGUGCAUCGGGAUUUGGACAAGCUUUAGAACAUGAUGAAUUAAAUCUGCCACCACCAAAGUUAUUGUCAAAGUCAACAAUAUUAGCACAUCACUACUUUGUACGUGAUGAAAUUUUCCCGUUGCGUUUAAAUCUUUUGCGUCCAUAUGCAAGGAAAAACUUAUUGGGAAUCAAACAAAAAGUUUUUAACUAUUGACUCUCAAGGGCACGACGUACUAUUGAAAACGCUUUUGGAAUUUUCGUAACUAGAUGGAGAGUACUAAGUACUAUACACUAGCCAUGCACCCAAAAUAAUGUAGAGGCUGUAAUUUCUGCUGCAGUCUGUUUACACAAUUUCAUCAUGAAAAGGGAAGAACAUACUAUCGGAUUCUAAUCAUAUUGUCCACCUGGUUACGUAGAUCAUUAUAAUGAAAAUGGAAAUGUUGUUUCUGGUUUAUGGCGAGAUAAAAACAUUCCUAGAUGUACAACACGACUCAAUCGAGUAGGAUCUAACCGUGCUGCAACAAUUUCAUUGGAGCAACAAGAUACGAUAGCUGAAUAUUUUACGACAAAUGAAGGACAGAUUCC